rnacentral:tRNA from 1 species
GCGGAUAUGGCGGAAUUGGCAGACGCGCCAGAUUUAGGUUCUGGUGGGAACACCCGUGCAGGUUCAACUCCUGUUAUCCGCACUA